GACGAACCGUGCGAACGUUAUUCGGAAUCACUGGGCUUAAAGGGCGCGUAGGCGGGCCAUCAAGUCAGGGGUGAAAUCCCACGGCCCAACCGUGGAAGUGCCUUUGAUACUGAUGGCCUCGAGGGGGGUAGGGGCGUGCGGAACUCAGGGUGGAGCGGUGAAAUGCGUAGAUAUCCUGAGGAACACCGGUGGCGAAAGCGGCGCGCUGGACCCCUUCUGACGCUGAGGCGCGAAAGCCAGGGGAGCAAACGGG
rnacentral:rRNA from 1 species